rnacentral:rRNA from 1 species
UAAGGAAUAUUGCUCAAUGGGAGAAAUCCUGAAGCAGCAACGCCGCGUGGAGGAUGAAGGGUCUAUGACUUGUAAACUCCUGUAAAGAAGGAAAAAAUUCCCAUUUGAUGGGAGAUGAUGGUACUUCUGGAGUAAGCCCCGGCUAACUACGUGCCAGCAGCCGCGGUAAUACGUAGGGGGCAAGCGUUGUCCGGAUUUACUGGGUGUAAAGGGUGCUCAGGCGGAUUUGUAAGUCAGAGGUGAAGUCUUACAGCUUAACUGUGAAACUGCCUUUGAUACUGCAAGCCUAGAGUAUGGAAGAGAGUGAUGGAAUAUCUGGUGUAGCAGUGAAAUGCGUAGAUAUCAGAUAGAACACCAAUGGCGAAGGCAGUCACUUGGUCCAUUACUGACGCUAAAGCACGAAAGCGUGGGUAGCAAAC